UACGUAGGUGACAAGCGUUGUCCGGAUUUACUGGGCGUAAAGAGCGCGCAGGCGGUCGAUCAAGUCGAGUGUGAAAGCCCCCGGCUCAACUGGGGAGGGUCAUUCGAUACUGAUCGACUCGAAGGCAGGAGAGGGUAGUGGAAUUCCCGGUGUAGUGGUGAAAUGCGUAGAUAUCGGGAGGAACACCAGUGGCGAAGGCGGGUCUCUGGACAGUUCCUGACGCUGAGGCACGAAGGCCAGGGGAGCAA
rnacentral:rRNA from 1 species